AGACACUUAAGAUCAGAGGAGCCAUCACAGGACCCCAAAGAAAAAGCCUUAUUAUCUAAAGAUGAAGGGAGAAAAGAAAUGCCAACAAGUCUACACAUCGAAAGAUGCGAUUUUUGAGAUGAUGAAAGUGCAAGGGACAUGAAAAUAUGGCCUGAAUGAUUCAGAACAGAGAGCAUUUUCAGCUCACGGGUAGUAAGAGUGAGCCAAAGAUGCUGAUUUCACUGACUGUUUUUUGUAACAGUCCAAGAAACAAAAGCAUCAACAUGAAUUCUGGGUUGAUUUUGUUCCCUCAUUGAAGUCUUGCUCUGUGAAAUGAUGAAUCCCUUGGCACAGGAAGAAGAAACACAGAAGACAUAAAAUAAAAACUGAUAGAGGUCCUAUAUCAUAAGAUAUAGGGUCUGCAUUUGCUCCUGCAAGUAACAAGUAGUUUGCUGAGGAAUGUAACAUAUCCUGUGGACUUACACUGCAAAAUCUGUAUUCCUGGAAUGCAAGUAGAUGACACCGUUUUCUCAGUCUGAAAUUAUAAAUCAGUAUACCUCCAGACAUUUCUCAGUGGAAAAACUGAAAGGUACUUAAAGCAGAACUUGUGAUUGGGAAGAGUUGUCUGAGGUUGGAGGGUCAUAAUGGAUGCUGGUGAAGAAAUGGUAAAACCACAUGGUUAAAACUGAUGUUUACAGUACUAACUCUACCAGUUCCAAGUCAGACUCAUAUCACUAACACAUGCUUAAAGAAUAAGAACAUAUUUAACCUGCCUGUUGUUUUAUUACUUUCCAAGUAUAAAUUCAUCUUGACAUCAUCUGAAUAAAAAAAAUGAUCAAACAAAUAGAUAAAACCAACAAGCCAAAGUAAGCUAAAGGUUAACAAAUCUGCUUUAUCAAAGGCUUCUUAAUGUCCCCUCUCUAAGAGGAUAUGGUAUCUAUUUUUUUCCAUAAAGCAAUAAUUAUUACAUUGAAAAAUGAAACACCCAGUCAGUUGUAAUAUGCUGCAAAAAGGAGUUUUGUAUGCUUCAAGUUUUCUUUACAUUUUAAAGAAUGAAUUUAAGAAAGGAGCCUUUAGUGUAGUUUCAGAUGUAAGACCACAAUCACUUCCAAGCCUUCUAUAAAUUUUAGUGACCUGAGAAAUAUUGUCACUUUUUCUUGCUGGUACUAUACAUAUUUCAACAAAGCAUUCAAGGCUUGGGUGUUUCACUGACCCAAAGAAACAGGAGAUCAGGUCCACAGAUUACAUUUUCUAUUCUUAUUAAUUUUUUUCUACUCUUUCAGAGUCUAUCUGAGCCUUUGCUGCACAACCUCAGCAGGUUGAGGUUCUCUUCAGGGUUUCACUGAGGAAGAAAGUCAUGGUAUAUUUUUUCAUGCUAACUACUGUUUG